rnacentral:rRNA from 1 species
CCUACGGGUGGCAGCAGUGGGGAAUAUUGCACAAUGCGGGAAACCCUGAUGCAGCGACGCCGCGUGAGUGAAGAAGUCUUUCGGUACGUAAAGCUCUAUCAGCAGGGAAGAAAAUACCCGGUACCUACCUAAGAAGCCCCGGCUAACUACGUCCCAGCAGCCGCGGGAAUACGUAGGGGCCAAGCGUUAUCCGGAUUUACUGGGUGUAAAGGGAGCGUAGAGGGAGUUGCAAGUCAGAAGUGAAAGCCCAGGGCCCAACCCUGGGACUGCUUUGGAAACUGGUGUGCUAGAGUGCUGGAGAGGAAGGUGGAAUUCCUAGUGUAGCGGUGAAAUGCGUAGAUAUGAGGAGGAACACCAGUGGCGAAGGCGGCUUACUGGACAGAAACUGACGUUGAGGCUCGAAAGCGUGGGGAGCAAACAGGAUUAGAUACCCUUGUAGUC